CACACAGCAGACGUCACGUAGACCGCCUGAAACCGGUUUGAACCAGAUGGAGCCGGCCUGCGAAACUCCCCCUCCCAUCGACAGUAAGAGCGGAGGUUGCUGCGACACAGCCGGACGGUGUUUUUCCACCGCCUCGUUGCCUCACGUUUGGUAUCCCUCCGCGCUGCGUGUGUCCCGGCCCCGCCCCCACUCCUCUGAAUUCGCCUCAGCGAAGCUGAAUGUCAACACGGCGGCCAUUUUGAGGGCGUGAUAACGUUGCUCGUCGUUAUUUUUCGUUUGUUUUCUUGCUCCUCGUCGACACUGAUACUGAAUCCUCAUUACAGCAAUAUGGAGCCGAAACAACCAUGUCGACUCUUCCCUGGUUUGAUGCCCUCAGCCCACCUUUUACACCCUCCUCUUAGUGAACUGAGAAUCACCUGGGUUGAGCUGGCACUGACAGGAAGGCCACCUUAACAAAAGGAUGAAGAAAGGAGCAGUAAGAAGUGUAAUUAAUUAUUUCUGGAAAGUAUUAAUUUUGCAAGGAAAUGCUAAUUUAACACCACAGCUUUGCAGAGAACACACAUUUAAAACGAGCACAUUAUAUCCAUUCUGUUUAAUGGUGCCAGGAACUAUGUUUUGUGCUUAUUAUGACUGUUGGCCAGCGGAAGGAGCAGCCAACACAAGUGAGUGAGACUGUACCUGGCUAUAAAUAGAGGUCUCCGCCCCUCUCUUGUCAGAGGUGUAGGGAGCGCCAGGCAGAUAGGACUUAUUCUGGUGAUUGGGAGGAGAAGAGAAAAUGGGUUUAAAAAGGAAAAUAAUAACAUAGAUGAGUUGCUUUUUAAACUAUAACUAAUAUUUUUCAUAGUAAAAUGAGAAUUUUAAGCUACUAAAAUAUUAACUAUAGUUUAUAUUUUUUAUUAAAAAGAUUGGAGUUAAUAAGGCAUCUGAUCCUAAAAAUCAUUAGGACAGGCAAUAAUUUAAUGAAAAAGAGAAUGGAAAAUAGAAGACUGAAGAAGAACUAAACCUUUAAAAAACAGGGGAAACGGUUAAUUGUUGGCAGAUUAUGGGCUUCUAAAAGUCCCAAAAGAAAAGGCAGGUAAACAAAACUUAACUGAAAACUAAGAAAAAUAUAAAGAUGAAGAUUUUAAAGAAAAUCAAGAAAAAGAAAAUAUUUGAAGAUAGAAAUAAAAGAAGAUAGAGGGGGGAGCUAUAUUUACAUUUCAAACUAAUUGAGGACUAGUUUUGAAUGUAAAAGUAGAUGGCUCUGAAGUCUGCUUCAAGCAGAGUGCAAAAUGAAGAGAAGAUGGCAGGCUUUUGUUUUAAAAGGCAACUAGAGAGAGGCCUUUCCAUCUGAAGAAAGGGUUAGGCUUUUGUUGCUGAAGGUAGAAAAACCAAGACUGGGAAGACUUGGAAGAGAGGAAGGAGCCAUAGAAGAUAGAAGGGUAGAAGGCAACUUAGAAGAGGAUCCAGGAAGAGAGAAAAGGGAGGGAAGGAAAAGGAGCAAAAUCUGUAACAACUGUGUCUGAAAAGGAUAGCAAAGAGGAAGGAGGAGAUGAAAAGGACAGAGAUUUGUAAUUGUUUGCAGCCAUUUUGUGGCGGCUUCUCCUCAAGGACUUUGUGAAAGAUGUUCUUUUUCAAAGGGAUGCAGUGGGAAGGAUUUCCUUAAAAUAUAAGGUGUCAAGGACUAAAAUAAGCAUCUGAUACACCAGCCUUAAAAUGGGUUGGCAUCUGACACCUAAUUCUGAAGUUAGGAAGAGUCGUUCCAGCAGCCAGUGCAAAUUGGUGAAGCUAGAAAAGAUACUGAAAGCAUUGAGAAAAAAAGCAAGAAAACUCCUGAGGGAAGAGCCUUACUUAGCUUUAGAUCAAGAAUGAAGGAGCAAAUAUGCGGUGAAGACGGUGAACUUCUCGGUAGUUGGUAACCUAAUGGGAAGGCUCUGUAAUCUUAGUUUUCCUUGUCAAGGGCUGUUUUGUGGGGUGCGGGGAGCAGGGGUGUUGGUGUUGUAGGUUUCUCUCUUUGCAGGCAUAAUUGCGCCCGUUGUCUGUUGCCGAGAAGCUAUUGCUGAGAAGCUAACAGGCAGUCUGCACGUGCUUCGUUUCCGUCCCACCGGUUCCUGAGGUUAGCGUUUUUUCCAUCCAGCCCCGAGAAUGGUUAGCUAGCAUCUGCAACCCUCCCCAGAAUGAGCGAGUCGAGAACCUGGUGGACAGACAGAACACUGCAGGUAGCAGCAGCAAAAACACCCACAGAAAAAGGGGUGAGAGAAACCAGCCUGUUGGACUCCUGUUGCGGGCCUCCCGUCGAGGGAGGAGGGUAGGCACCCAAAUCUUGUUUAGUUUUUGUCCCUUCAGGUGUGUUUGUGAAUGUAGAUCUAGAGGAUUCCCAAUGUUCCAGUCUUGAUAAUUAACUUAAAGCAAAAAAAGGAAGGAAGCCUGUUGAGAAUGAUUCCAGUGUGGGGAAAAACAGGAGCCUUUUUGAGGAGGAACAUCCUGCUGAUGGCAGCGCUUAGAAAAAGAGGUGGCCGCCUCUUGGCACCUGGGAAGGAGCAGCAGCCACUGGAGAGGAGCUUUUGCUUAGAGCAAUGUCCAGUCGAGGAUCCUGCCGGGGUCAAAUUGCAUGUUUUCUCUUUGGAAAGUGCUAAGUAUACAACCUCCUUGACAAUCAAUCAUGCUAGCCUUGAUGGGGGGAGUGGGGAAUGCACUGGGGAGAGGGAUAAACACCCGCUUCAUUCUAGCCUCUUUGCAGGUACUGUAGCGUCCCCAGGUGGCUUGGUUUAGAACGGUAGUCCUGCAGUAUUGUGGCAAGGUCACCACCCCAGAGGCUGGAGCUCUCUUUGCCUAGGAAGAAAGGACAGUGCUUAAAGUUGGCGUUUGUGCUGGAGCCCUGGUCGUUCAGCCACUCCUUUCGGAAGAGCUGGGAACUUGAAAGCUAAGUUUUCCUUAGGGGGCUAAAAAGCAGAGAAUUCUCCAGCGUCAGUGUAUCAUGUGGAAGGGGCUGUCUGGUUGGACGGGGGCGGGGCGGGUUUUAGGGAGGGCACGGGGGAUGAUAACUUGUUCUCGGAUUCUUUUCCCAGGAUAAUCGUAACGUUAGGCCUGGAAAAAAAAUAAGAUUAUUAAGCUUCUAGACUGGCAAGUACUACUUGAAAUAUUCAGAAAAGACUUUCCUUCCAAGUAAUGGCCAAUACUCAUGGAAAGGUCUCUGUGAAUCCCUUGGGUCCAAAAUGAACAGAGCUGCUUCUCUUGCAUUCCCUCUAAAGGGCAGGAGCAGAAAACAACUUGCAGAUCUGGAGGGUCUUUGCGGGGGAGACCUGCUUAGCUAAGAGUUGGCAGGGGUGGGGUUGAACUCUUCAUGCCUUUAGUGGUUUGUGGUUUUCUUUUGGCAUUUUUUGCAGGUGCUUAAUAUGUCUUAAUGCCACUGUAGAGGCUUCAGGGAGAAAGGAGGAGCUUAAUGAUCCUGGUGUGGGAUUCCUUCUGAUGGUAGCUUGUAUAAUUUUUCCAAGUAAGAUUCUGCUUUUGAUUGCUUUGUCUUGUGUAUGAGUUCCAAGUCUAGGAAUUAUUUGCAUUGAUGAACAUUCUUGCGUAAUGAAUCCUGUAACAUACUGAAAACAAUUCAACGUUAACAAUGACAAGACUUAAACAGCUCAUGUAAGCAGAUUAAUGAUUAAGUCCUACCAUUAAAACGGAAAAAAAGAUUGUCUAAUGCUCA